rnacentral:rRNA from 1 species
UAGGGAAUCUUCGGCAAUGGGGGGAACCCUGACCGAGCAACGCCGCGUGAGUGAAGAAGGGUUUCGGAUCGUAAAGCUCUGUUGUUAAGGAAGAACGAGUGUGAGAAUGGAAAGUUCAUGCUGUGACGGUACUUAACCAGAAAGGGACGGCUAACUACGUGCCAGCAGCCGCGGUAAUACGUAGGUCCCGAGCGUUGUCCGGAUUUAUUGGGCGUAAAGCGAGCGCAGGCGGUUAGAAAAGUCUGAAGUGAAAGGCAGUGGCUCAACCAUUGUAGGCUUUGGAAACUGUUUAACUUGAGUGCAGAAGGGGAGAGUGGAAUUCCAUGUGUAGCGGUGAAAUGCGUAGAUAUAUGGAGGAACACCGGUGGCGAAAGCGGCUCUCUGGUCUGUAACUGACGCUGAGGCUCGAAAGCGUGGGGAGCGAACAGG